rnacentral:rRNA from 1 species
CAGCAAAACUGCAAAUGGCUCAUUAAAACAGUUAUUGUUUACUUGAUAAUAAUUUUUACAUGGAUAACCGUGGUAAUUCUACAGCUAAUACAUGAGCAAAAUCUCAACUUUAUUAGAAGAGACGCAUUUAUUAGAUAAAAAGCCAGUUCAUGCUUUUAUAGUAUGAAAAUUGGUGAUUUAUAAUAACUUAGCAAAUCGCAAAGUGAAAACAGGCGAUAAAUCAUUCAAGUUUCUGACCUAUCAGCUUUCGACGGUAUGGUAUUGGCUUACCGUGGCAGUGACGGUUAACGGGGGAUUAGGGUUCGAUUCCGGAGAGGGAGCCUGAGAAACGGCUACCACAUCUAAGGAAGGCAGCAGGCGCGCAAAUUACCCAAUUCUAACAGUUUGAGAGAGGUAGUAACAAGAAAUAACAAUACAAGGCAGUUAAAAUGCUUUGUAAUUGGAAUGAUAGAAAUUUAAACCCUUUUUAAAGUAUCAAUUGGAGGGCAAGUCUGGUGCCAGCAGCCGCGGUAAUUCCAGCUCCAAUAGCGUAUAUUAAAAUUGUUGCAGUUAAAAAGCUCGUAGUUGAAGUUCUGCUGAAAGUAACCGGUCUGCUUUUAAUAAAAGUGGUAUCUUGGUAUGUAUUUAGCAAUGAUGUCCUUUGAAGUGUUUUUUACUUUAUUGUAAUAAAGCAUAUUCAGGACUUUUACUUUGAGAAAAUUAGAGUGUUUCUAGCAGGCUAACGCUUUGAAUACUGCAGCAUGGAAUAAUAAGAUAGGAUUUUAGUUCUACAUUAUUGGUUUUAAGAGCUAAAUUAAUGAUUGAUAGGGACAGUUGGGGGCAUUUGUAUUUAACUGUCAGAGGUGAAAUUCUUAGAUUUGUUAAAGACAAACUACUGCGAAAGCAUUUGCC